AAACGCCCGCCCCUCCCCUCGCCCGCACAAACCUAGCCAGCCAAGAGCAGGACCGCCAGGGAGCUCCGCCUCUUGCCCCGCGCCGAGCCCCCUUUGUUUCCACCCGCGGGGGCGGGGCUGCGCGUCCAGGCGGCUCCGGCCAGUUCCGGCAACAGAGCCGGUGCGCAGCGCCACUGCGCAGCCCCGCCCAGCUCACUCGCUCGGCCAGGACUAGCAGCGAAGGUAGGGAAGUGGGGCAGCGCCUUCCAGAGCAGGCAGUACCUAACGCUCCAGCCAAAGAACUCUGCAGUGGAGCAGUAAACCUCACAAUAUAAUAUGGAUUUACAUGACCAAAGAAGUAGGAAUUUUUACUGAUAUAGAACAACAGAACAAUCAGGCUUGUAAUCUAACUUGUCCGACCCCUCAGGACGAAUCUGAGAUUCUCUGACUUUGUUGGUAUUUCCUAAGCUCGAAUGCUGAAGCCGGCUGGCUCAUGAUUGAAUUCAAGUCCCAAUAGAGAAGACAAACCCUAUAACGGCGCAAUAAACACAAGGAAAAAGAUCGCAGAAUGCCAUUGUAAAUUAUGGAAGCGGUGGACUUUUUAAGCAAAUUAGACGAGUCUUCAAAAGUUCAUGUUUUAAAAGGUGAUGUGAAACUACAAAACAAUGAGCAGAAAACCCAGACCCAACAGGACGUGGUGGGCUCACACACUGGGGAAGCUGAGAAAAGACUUGUGAGAGGUUGAGGUCCGCCUCGUCUACUGUGUUGAAAUCCGGUCUAAAAACCUAGAGUGGGGGAAGGAGGAGAGGAAAGAGGACAGAGAAAGGAAAGCAAUCAAACCCAGACUCCACUUCUUUAGACUGCUUAAACCUUUCUCCAUCGAGUCUCAGUGACUUCAGGUAAUACAAACAAAACUAAAAUGUUUCAGCAUCUUUUUUGGACCUUAUUCAUUCUGCUGGUUAAUAACACGAUAUAGUAAUUGUGUACAUUUGUCACCAGUAUCAGACUGAACACCAGUGCUCUAUUGUGACCCUAACUCCAAGGCCCACAAUUUCAGGUGCUUAGCAACUACUGAAUCAAAGUUCUAGCAAUCAUUCUAACACAAAGAAGCUGGAAUGAAAUAGCAGGCCCCCGUGAAGUUUCCCCAGUUUGGACACAACACUGAAACUUAUGACCAUGUUGGAGGUAUACUGGAAGGCAAAAAAGGUUCAAAGAUGAAAAAGAAUGUCAUUUCCU
rnacentral:lncRNA from 1 species